ACGAGCGCUCCCUCUCUGUCACCGGUGCUUGACCAGGAAACGCAACAGGGGGAGACGCUCCACCACGCGGGCCAAACAAUUGCUCGCAGUAUUUCAAAGAAACGCUGAAACAGGUGGAUAAAUCGGACGCCGUGAGGCACGUUCAUAUUACGGCCACCGGGCCCUCUCUUGUGGCCCCUCACCAUUCAUGCCUGUCGACAGCAUGAUGUAGCCACAUGGGGCCAAAGUGCUGACUCCAGCCCCUGACAUCCUCCUCACUCACGGCCUUUGACCCCGUUACAAAAGAGGAUGUCUCCCUGGACAGAGAUUUCCCUGCUGUUUGACGGCUGUGCGGCACAAAAAGCCGCCUGGCUCUGUUGACACGGGCAUUAGGAGGCACAAUAUGGGGACAGACUGGGAGGCCCCCCACUGGAAAACAACGUUUCCUGUCACUGGAUGGUUGUGUUGGAAAAUUACCUUAUCUGUCUUAUCAGAACAAUUAUCGUCUUGUGCUGGUACUUUCACUUUUGACCUAAAUUCAGAUUGACAGUGGUGAUAGCUGUCAUAGGAAAUUAGUAGAAAAUAAAUAACUGUUUAGGCUGAUAGUGGAAUAAAUGUAUGAGACUAAUAAAGGUUUUAUUCACUA